GUCUGCCACUUUUCAGUGCCUAAUGCAGCGGCUAUUAGGAGAUGUACCUAACUGCAGUGUGUAUCUUGACGAUGUGGUGGUCUACUCCAGUGAGUGGGAGAGUCACAUGUCCAGUCUGGAAACUGUACUCCAGUGGCUGGCGGACGCCUCUCUUACCCUUAACUUGGCCAAGUGUGAGUUUGGUAAGGCUACUGUUACCUACCUUGGUAAGAUGGUUGGCGGGAGCAAUGAAAUGCAUCUGUG